rnacentral:lncRNA from 1 species
AUCAGAUCCCGAAAAUCUCUCUGAUUUUCUUGAAGGCGCCGAUAACAUGGCGAUUUCAACAAAUUCUUAUGAUAAGCUUUUUCAGGGUUAUUUUGUUAUUCAUAUUUCUUUUCAGUAACAAUUGUCGUGUUCGAAUAAUACCUCCAUGAAUCGCCGAGAAGAAGAAGGUAAAAUAUUUCAUAGAUUAAUUAUAUUCGUCAAAAAAAAUUACGCAUUUGUUAAUCUAUGAUUUUUGUUCUUUCUCUAGCACAUAAUGUAAUUCCGUUCAUGAUUAUCAGUAAUCUUUUUUUUUAUCGAUUAUAACAAUGGUGAUAUUUGUCUUUCUAUGCUUUUUCACAUUCGUUUCUUAUAAAAAUGGGGUUCAAAAACUUAUUGGUAGUAGGUGUGUCAAGAAGCAUGUUUUUGUUCGGUGUUUGAAUUGAAUUGGAUUUGUAGGGAUCUUCAAUUGAAUUCUCUGAAUUUUUUAGUAUUUUUUCCUCAUAUGUUUGUCAUGUUUUUUGUUUUGCAGGUUAAGUUUUGAUCGAUUAUAAUUGAAUUUGCAUCCAGAUAAUCUUGGUAAUUUUUUACACAUUAUACCUGAAUAUAAUUCUGUAUUAUGUCGAACAUAUAACACUUUCUUGACGAUAUUUAUUUGUUUUCCUUCAUUCGUGUAUACUGUUGCGUGGAAAUAUUCUUGCUUGUGUUGAUGGAAAUAAUUAGAAAGAUAGGUUGGAGAUCCCUCUCUUGAUUUCGUGAUGCCGUGAUUAUCACUGAUGGAGGCACUAAUUAAUUCGUGAACGAAAGAGUCACGCAGCUGCAGGUGCUCAUGGAGGUACUACUCUAGGAUGUUGAAAUUUAGAAGAAAAUGAAAAGGAUAUGUUAUAUGGCUUUGUAAUGAAUUAUUGUUGCAUACCAUUGAGGAAGGCGUAGUCAUUGGUGGUGGUUGCUGCCUUUAAAGGUUGUCUACAAAGAUUGAUAAAAUCAGAGAGCAAUUAUUUUAGUGAAGCAGCAUAUUUUAGUGUUCUUGUUUUCUUUUCCUUUUUCUUUUGGAACUACAAUAGCUUGUAUGUUUGGUUGUUAGUACUUCUGUUAGUGGAGAAAAAUAGUUCAAGUUCAUAUUAUAUACACAUUGUUCAACGUAUAAACAACAAAGUUCA